AGAGACAGAUAUAACAGCGAGGACAGAAGGGUGAAGUGGCAGGUACAAAAGGACAACAGAAACAACAGGCCAAGACUGAAAUGGGCCCAGAAUCUUCCCGAGGGGAAUAGGGACAAGGGCCAGUACUGGGGCCAGCAUCUCAGGUAAACCCAGUCAGGGCUCCAGUCACUCUCGGACCUCAGAAAUAUCCCGGAACCAUCCAAUUGCCCUCCUCCUGGCCUGAGAGUUACCUGCACACUCUGGAGGUAGUGAUGGGGCAGCCCCGUUUUCUGGACGCCCCAGAAAUAACGGGGCCAGGUCGGAGCCCGGACUUACCAGGCCACGGCAGCCCGGCGAACUCGCCACAUCCCGCCGGCGAGGAGGUCACACAGGCGCCGAGGCGGCCAGCGGGGAGCCCUGGUGUCAACCCCAGUCCGGUCCUGCUCCGGGAAUGACCCAGGAAGAGGCCCGCAGCAACAAGGGCACAGAGCAGCCUCUGCGGCCCUCCCAAUGGCGAAUGGACUUCCGUAAGAGCCUGCUCGGCACCCGUACUCGGUCCGUCGGCCAAACCUCCGCCCCGCUCUUCCAGGAGGGCAGCAAAAACGGUCCGGCGGUGGACUCGCGCAUGCACUCAAAGCCCCUGAUUGACUGGUUUGAUUUCCUGGCAAUCUGAGGGAUUCUAAAGAGUCUUCUCCAGCAUCACAAUUUGAAAGCAUCAUUUCUUUGGCUCUCAGCCUUCUUUAUGGUCCAGUUUUCUGUUCCCUUAAGAUCAUUAAUUCCUGAGACCUGAGGACAAGCUUUGUGGCCAGGCUUAGAUCACAAAACGGCUUAGGCCAGAAACGACUUCUCGUGCCAAGAAAUCCAUACCUGAUUUUCUGUUUCCAGACCCUCUACAUUAUUUGCUUACAAACUGCACAAGAUGUNUAAAUGCAAACCUUUCCGUUUCCAUU